rnacentral:lncRNA from 1 species
GUUUUCUCAAAUCCCACAUUUAAAGCGAAAGUCACGCGUUUUCUCUUCGCAAAUCCCCCAAUUAACACAAAAAACCACGAGUUUUCUCUUCAGAAAUCCCCCAUUUAAGCAGAAAAUCACACGUUUUCCCUUCGCAAAACCCCCAUUUAAGUGGAAAUCUCGCGUUUUCUCUUUGAGAAUCGUCAAUUUAAGUGAAAAUCAAGCGUUUUCUCUUUGAGAAUCCCCCAUUUAUGCGAAAAUCACGAAUUUUCUCAAAUCCCCCAUUUAUGUGGAAAACACGUGUUUUCUCUUCGAAAAUCCCCCAUUUAACCCGAUAAUCGCACAUUUUCAAUUUGCAAGUCCCCCAUUUAAGCGAAAAACACGCGUUUUCUCUUCGCAAAUCCCCCAUUUAACCAGAAAAUCACGCGUUUUCUUUUCGGAAAUCCCCCAUUUAAGCGAAAAUCACGUGUUUUCUCUCCGAGAAUCCAACACUUAAGCGAAAAUCACGCGUUUUCUCAAAUCCCACAUUUAAGCGAAAGUCACGCGUUUUCUCUUCGCAAAUCCCCCAUUUAACCAGAAAACCAAGCAUUUUCUCUUCGCAAAUCCCCCAUUUUACCAGAAAAACACGCGUUUUCUCUUCGAAAAUCCCCCAUUUAACCCGAAAAUCACGCGUUUUCCCUUCGCAAAUCCCCCAAUUAACACAAAAAACCACGAGUUUUCUCUUCAGAAAUCCCACAUUUAAGCGAAAAUCACACGUUUUCCCUUCGCAAAACCCCCAUUUAAGUGAAAAUCUCGCGUUUUCUCUUUGAGAAUCGUCAAUUUAAGUGAAAAUCAAGCGUUUUCUCUUUGAGAAUCCCCCAUUUAAGUGAAGAUCACGAAUUUUCUCUUCUCAAAUACCCCAUUUAAGCGAAAAUCACGCGUUUUCUCUUCGGAAAUCCCCCAUUUAACUUGAAAAUCACGCGUUUUCUCUUCGGAAAUCCCCCAUUUAAGCGAAAAUCACGCGUUUUCUCUUCGAGAAUCCAACAUUUAAGCGAAAAUCAUGUGUUUUCUCAAAUCCCCCAUUUAAGCGAAAAUCACGCGUUUUCUCUUCGCAAAUCCCCCAUUAACACAAAAAACCAUGAGUUUUCUCUUCAGAAAUCCCCCAUUUAAGCGAAAAUCACACGUUUUCCCUUCGCAAAACCCCCAUUUAAGUGAAAAUCUCGCGUUUUCUCUUUGAGAAUCGUCAAUUUAAGUGAAAAUCAAGCGUUUUCUCUUUGAGAAUCCCCCAUUUAAUGCGAAA